rnacentral:rRNA from 1 species
UGAGUAGGCGGUUGCAUAUGUCAGAUGUAAAAGGCACAGGCUUAACUUGUGUUAGCAUUUGAAACUGUGCGACUUGAGUGCAGGAGAGGUAAGUGGAAUUCCUAGUGUAGCGGUGAAAUGCGUAGAUAUUAGGAGGAACACCAGUGGCGAAGGCGACUUACUGGACCGUAACUGACGCUGAGUCACGAAAGCGUGGGUAGCAAACA